AUUGAACUUGAGUUUGUGGCAUAUUUGAACUUGAGUUUAUAAUGUUUUUUGAACUUGAGGUUCUGGUGUUUUCUAACUUAAGUUUGUGGAAAUUGUUGAACUUGAGGAUCGGGUGUUGCUUGAACUUGACUUGUUGUGUUUGUUGAACUUGAGUUUGUGGUGUUUGUUGAACUUGAGUUUGUGUGGUGUUUUUGAACUUGAGUUUGUGAAGUGUUUGAACUUGAGUUUGUGUUUUUUUUAACCUUGAGGUUGUGGCAAUUGUUAAACUUGAGAAUCGGGUGGUGGUUGAACUUGAGUUUGUGGUGUUCAUUGAACUUGAGUUUGUGGCAUAUUUGAACUUGAGUUUAUCAUGUUUUUUGAACUACAGCGUCUGGUGUUUUUGAACUUAAGUUUGUGGAAAUUGUUGAACUUGAGGAUCGGGUGUUGCUUGAACUUGACUUGUUGUGUUUGUUGAACUUGAGUUUGUGUCGUUUUUGAACUUAAGUUUGUGGCGUGUUUGAACUUGAGUUUGUGGUGUUUUUUGAACUUGAGGUUGUGGAAAUUGUUAAACCUGAGAAUCGGGUGUUGAUUGAACUUGAGUUUGUUUGUUUUUUGAACUUGAGUUUGUGUCGUGUAUGAACUUGAGUUUGUGGUGUUUUUUGAAUUGAGGUUGUGGCGUGUUUAAACUUGAGUUUGUGUGUUUUUUGAAAUGGAGGUUGUAGAAAUUGUUAAACUUGAGAAUCGGGUGUUGUUUAAACUUGAGUUUGUGAUGUUUUUUGAACUUGAGUUUGUGUCGUGUUUGAACUUGAGUUUGUGGUGUUUUUGAACUUGAGGUUGUGGCGUGUUUAAACUUGAGUUUGUGUGUUUUUUGAAAUGGAGGUUGUAGAAAUUGUUAAACUUGAGAAUCGGGUGUUGUUUAAACUUGAGUUUGUGAUGUUUUUUGAACUUGAAUUUGUGUGUUUUUUUAAAUUUGAGUUUGUGGCGUGUUUGAAAAUGAGUUUGUGGCGUGUUUGAAUUUCAGUUUGUGUGUUUUUUUUCUAAGGUUUGUGGCAAUUUAUGAACUUGAGUUUGUUGAACUUGAGUUUUUGGUCUUUGUUCAACUUGAGUUUGUGGUUUUUUGUGAACUGUAGUUGGUGGCAUCUUUGAACUUGAGUUUGUGGCAUUUGUUGAACUUGAGUUUGUGAUGUGUUUGAACUUGAGUUUGUGGCAUUUGUUGAACUUGAGUUUGUGUCGUGUUUGAACUUGAGUUUGUGGCAAUUGUUAAACUUGAGGUUUGGGUGUUGGUUGAUCUUGAGUUUGUGUCUUGUUUGAACUUUUGUUUUUGGAUUUUUUGAACUAGAGUUUGUAUCGUGUUUGAAAUUGAGUUUGUGGUGUUUUUGAACUUCAGUUUGUGUGUUUUUUGAACUUCAGUUUGUGGCACUUUUUUAACUUGAGUUUGUUGAACUUUAGUUUUUGGCAAUUGUUAAAUGUGAGUUUAGGUCAUUUGUUGAACUUGAAAUUUUGGAAUUUGUUGAACUUAAGAUUGUGGUGUUUGUUGAACUUGAGUUUGUGUUGUGUUUGAACUUGAGUUUGUGGCGUGUUUGAACUUUAGUAUCUGUUGUCUUUGAACUUGAGGUUGUGGCAAUUGUUAAACUUGAGGUUUGGGUGUUGGUUGAUCUUGAGUUUGCGUCUUGUUUGAACUUUUGUUUUUGGAUUUUUUGAACUAGAGUUUGUGUGUUUUUUGAACAUAAGUUUGUGGCAACUUAUGAACUUGAUUAUGUUGAAAUUAAGUUUGUGGCAAAUGUUGCACUUGAGUUUGUGUGUUUUUUUUUACUUGAGUUUGUGUCGUGUUUGCACUCUAGGUUGUGGUGUUUUUGAACUUGAGUUUGUGUGUUUGUUGAACUUGAGUCUAUGGUUUUUAGUGAACUUUAGUUGGUGGCAAUUGUUGAACUUGAUUUUUGAGUUUGUAGCUUGUUUGAAUUUGAGGUUGUUGCAAUUUUUAAACUUGAGAUUUGGGUGUUGGUUGAAUUCAAAAUUUUCACAUUUAUUGAACUUGAGUAUGUGGUGUUCGUUGAA
rnacentral:lncRNA from 1 species